UAUGCUUAACACAUGCAAGUCGAACGGCAGCACGAGAGAGCUUGCUCUCUUGGUGGCGAGUGGCGGACGGGUGAGUAACGCGUAAGAAUCUGCCUAUUAGUGGGGGAUAACUCGGGGAAACUCGAGCUAAUACCGCAUACGCCCUACGGGGGAAAGUGGGGGACCUUCGGGCCUCACGCUAUUAGAUGAGCUUGCGUUGGAUUAGCUAGUUGGUAGGGUAAUGGCCUACCAAGGCGACGAUCCAUAGCUGGUCUGAGAGGACGAUCAGCCACACUGGGACUGAGACACGGCCCAGACUCCUACGGGAGGCAGCAGUGGGGAAUAUUGGACAAUGGGCGCAAGCCUGAUCCAGCAAUACCGCGUGUGUGAAGAAGGCCUGCGGGUUGUAAAGCACUUUCAAUUGUGAAGAAAAGCGGAAGGUUAAUAACCUUUUGUCUUGACGUUAACUUUAGAAGAAGCACCGGCUAACUCUGUGCCAGCAGCCGCGGUAAUACAGAGGGUGCGAGCGUUAAUCGGAAUUACUGGGCGUAAAGCGUGCGUAGGCGGUUUAGUAAGUCAGAUGUGAAAGCCCUGGGCUUAACCUGGGAACUGCAUUUGAAACUGCUGAACUAGAGUGUGGUAGAGGGAAGUGGAAUUUCCGGGUGUAGCGGCGAAAUGCGUAGAUAUCCGGAGGAACACCAGUGGCGAAGGCGACUUCCUGGAACCAACACUGAUGCUGAGGUACGAAAGCGUGGGUAGCAAACA
rnacentral:rRNA from 1 species